ACUUAAAUUGAAGAGUUUGAUCAUGGCUCAGAUUGAACGCUGGCGGCAGGCCUAACACAUGCAAGUCGAGCGGUAGCACAGAGAGCUUGCUCUCGGGUGACGAGCGGCGGACGGGUGAGUAAUGUCUGGGAAACUGCCUGAUGGAGGGGGGUAACUACUGGAAACGGUAGCUAAUACCGCAUAACGUCGCAAGACCAAAGUGGGGGACCUUCGGGCCUCAUGCCAUCAGAUGUGCCCAGAUGGGAUUAGCUAGUAGG
rnacentral:rRNA from 1 species